rnacentral:tRNA from 1 species
GGCUCUGUAGUGAAAUUCAUGGUGGGUUGCAAGCCCAUCGAUGCGCACUAAUUAUGCGUCAGGGUCU